rnacentral:piRNA from 1 species
UGAGGUAUUCAUGGCGACUGUGUCAA